rnacentral:ncRNA from 2 species
UCAAGACCCAGUAACUGACGGAAUCAAGGUGGACACCACCGGGGAGCAGGGUCUCUGAAUAAUGACGCCGACCGUCUGGGCAGAAAAA